CAACUUUUAACAACGGAUCUCUUGGUUCUCGCAUCGAUGAAGAACGUAGCAAAGUGCGAUAACUAGUGUGAAUUGCAUAUUCAGUGAAUCAUCGAGUCUUUGAACGCAACUUGCGCUCUUUGGUAUUCCAAGGAGCACGCCUGUUUCAGUAUCAAA
rnacentral:rRNA from 1 species